ensembl:lncRNA
UCUCUCUCUCUCCUCUCUCUCUUGCCUCGAUUGCUAUAUUUUUGUAGACCAAAGGUUGCUUUAGAAUAAAAGACACACCUCCUAAACUCAAAACAGUCAAUGUUACCUCCUUGUAUGAUGUCGAGUUCUGGAUUGUGAUUGGUCAGAAAGCGUCGGUUAAUUUUCCAUUCAAUUCUAACUCAAUGUCUUGAUUAGCAUAAAAUAAAAUAAAAUAAAUCAAACGGAUUUAGCAUCAUUAUCCAGCUACCUGAACACAGCAGUCUGAUAAGAUUAAAGUGAACUAGCGUAGCUUAGCUGUUGUUUACUCAACAGCUCUCGAGCGGUAGCUAGCUAACAGAAAAGAGUCAGGUUUUGUAGCAGGGUAGCGAGUGGUCGAGAAACAGGGCUGCCGCAUAAUUAAAAGCCGUGCUGGAGUUAAGUAUUGAGUUAGCUGACACUAGAUAAACUACUGAUCAGGGUUAUGAUUGGCUGAUCAACUCCACUGAACUUAGCCGACCCUGGAACACCUCUCACUGGAGAAACAUCAGAUGCGGGAAGCAGAGAAGUGUUUCUCCUGAACACGCUGUUAAACGUGAUACUGCAGGACUUGAUUAAGGCUGGUGCAGAGAGCCAUAUAGGGUCCCUAUGGAGUGAUCAUAUUGCGGUUUAGCGCACGCCCUGAGCUUCACCCAGGCUUUCAGGGAGAAGCCAGUAAAAGCUUCCUGAUAUAAUUACAGGCUGUGUAAUGUGGAGUGUUAGACAUCGACCUCUGCCCUUAAUCUCUGCUUUUAAUAAACAAAACUCACCAAAAUCUGCCCCAGAUGUGUCUUAAUCUACACCACAGAAAUACACCACGACUCUAUCCAGGAUAUAUAAUCUUACUUACAUUUUAAAAACACUUACUGAUUCUGUGAUAAUCCGAACUGAUAUAAAGAAUAGAACAUUCCCAAAUAACUUCUCUUAUAGGAUAAUAAUGAACAAUGACGCUGAGGUACACUACCACUCCCUGAAGCUGAAUAUUCUCCUGUAACAGCACAUUCCUCUUAUACCACAGCAAUAUGCCAACAAAUAUCAUAUUUAUUUAUUAAAGAAUGAUAUGAUGUGCAUUUAAUGUUGUGGAAUGUCCUCGCUUAUGUUAAAGCAGCCAGCCUCUCUUUAUUCUCUCUUCUAGUUAACAAAACAGAAAUGCAGCUUGUCGUCUUACAGAGAACGUGAAAAAAGCAAAGCGCUGACACUGGAGACUCCUUCCCCAGAUGUUAAAUACACAUCUCCUUAAAGAAAGCUUCACCGUGUCAGUGAUUUUUAAUCCGUUUACAUGGAGCGUCCGCUGUAACAGACCCUGUGAACGGGCUUUUGCUAUAGAAACGAUAAUGUAUUAGAACGAGCGCAUUAAUAUAAAGCUGUGAUGUGCAGCUGCAAUACUGUUAUAGAAAACUAAUCAACUAGUCCUGACCAAUCAGAAUCCAGAACUCAACAGCGCUAGUGUUAGGUGGAAUAACUAAUGUUUUGUUUCAAUCUUUAAAAUGAGCACUAAAGUAUAAUAAACUCUGUGUGUGUGUGUGUGUGUGUGUGUGUGUGUGUGUGUGUGUGUGUGUGUGUGUGUGUGUGUGUGUGUGUAUUCAUAAGAAAUGAUUGGCCGGUGAAAUGUUCAGACUGUAACGUUACAUGCUGCAGUGUGGUUGUAGAGUUUUGCUCAACUAUUAACUUACUGUUCUUGAUAGAUAGACAGACAGAGAGAUAGACAGAUAGAUAGAUAGAUAGAUAAUGUCCAUCCAAGGUUUCUCUUAUACAUGAACACCCAUAAUGGGCCAUCUGAUAGAUAUAAAGGGGGGAUCAGAACAUAAAUUUAUCCUAAACCUGAAUAUAAAAAUAGCUGAUACAGAGUCAGACCAUAACUUUUGUUUGCCUGUUAGUCUUAGCCAUCUGUUCAGACCUAACCACAAGAUGUUCCAACAUCUGCACAUCACAAAUAUCAUCUCUCUCUCUCUCUCUCUCUCUCUCUCUCUCUCUCUCUCUCUCUCUCUCUCUUCUCAUGUUUAAAAAAUUGCAGCGAUAUCUAAAAGUAGUGCGUUAAUGCAGAUCUUUGUGGUCUUUGACUGCCAUCUAGCGGCCACAUAAUGUAAUAACACUGCAAUGUUCUCAAGAUUUUAAGAUAUAUAUUAUAAACACACAUGUUGAUCAAACUGAUAAAGUCCCUUCAAGCAUACAGAAGGUUUGUUUAGGUAAAAUAACGAGCACCUGUCGAUAAUCAUUUUAUAAUUGAUCAUUUUUGUUAAAAAAAAAAAAAAAAAAACUGGCUGUACUGACCCCACUGUAAGUAAUACACUAAGGAGACUGACUGACUACUGACUGAUCCCUCCACCUGAAAAGGAAAAAUAUAUAUCUUAUCAUUUGACUAAUUGUACUUAAUAAUACAGCACCGCAUGUGUAAGGUUUAGUUUCAGUUUGUCCUCGUUAUCUGAGUGAUGAUUACAGAAUCCUCCAGCAGGGGGCGGUGUGCAAGGUCCGCUGUAAAAUCAAAAGAACACGAGCUGCUGUUUUCCCGGUUAGACGGCCAGAUCACCUUCUACAGGAACAACUUUCUGAAGGGAAUUUGUAGCGAGGAACCCUGGUGAAGCUUCUGGGGUUUCUUCAUGACUGUAAAUGUAAUUCAGCAGAAGCUUUGGAGCUUUACAAACAGAGAGCACAGUGUCAUCUACUGCUGGUGUGAGGUAAUUACAGGCAAUUGAAGUCUCAGUGAGGACUUUUAUUUUGAGCCAAUCGUCUCUAAUUGAACACUUGCUAACUUGUUCAGUUCAGUUCAAUUCAGUUUUAUUUGUAUAGAGCUUUUAACAGUGGACAUUGUCUCAAAGCAGCUCAACAGAAAUAUAUAAAUUCAGGAUAUCAUAUAUAUGGGUGUAUGAAUGGGUGUGUGAUUGUGUGCCCUGCGAUGGACUGGCACCCUGUCCAGGGUGUACCCUGCCUUGUGCCUGAUGCUCCCUGGGAUAGGCUCCAGGUUUCCCCGCAACCCUGAAAGGAGUAAGCGGUUGAAGAUGGAUGGAUGGAUGGAUGGAUGGAAUUUAUCCCUAAUGAGCAGCCAGAGGUGACGGUGGUGAGGAAAAACUCCCUGAGACGAUAUGAGGAAGAAACCUUGAGAGGAACCAGACUCAGAAGGGAACCCGUCCUUAUCAGGGUGACACCAGAUAGUGCGAUUAUAAAUAAAUACACCCCUUCUAUAAAUGUGCUAAUACUACAUGCUGAAAUAGUGCAGUUGUAAAACCAGGAAAUUCAUUACAGUUUCUACAUGAAGUCUGUUUUGUUGAACUUGUUCACUGAUGGAUACUUGAGUAUAAAACUGUUUGUGGUAAUUGUAGUGCUAAAGCUAUCAUAGCAUAACUGUUCUGAGGUCCAACUGAACUGAGGUCCAAAGCAUCUUUAUGUAGUUUAAGUGGUAACAUCCUCAGUGAUUUCAAUUAUCUUUAGGCUACACCAUGUGGAGCCAUCCUCAGCAUGAUGAGAACUCCAAACAAAAGUAGGGCACCAUGAUGGAUCAGGCAGGUCCAAAGAGUAGAAGGAGUCAGGAUCACUGGUGUGUCAGGAGUAGCAUGUGUAGCUCGACUUGUGGAGCAGAAAAGCUCAGGAUUCACAUCAAAGCCACACGUUCAAUGUGAGCUCUGACCUGAUUUCCCUGCUUGUUGUAAGCCUUUACUCUCUCUCUCUCUAUAUAUAAUUACUUUUGUGUAUAAGAUAGCUAAUUUCACCUACAUUCCCUCUACACAAACACUCCUGCUAUAGAAGUGUAUUAAAAAACGAUCUGAUUCAUAAACAAUGAUAUAUCAAAAUAUUCAAAUGUACUAUGCCACAGUGCUGUUGAGUUCUGGGCUGUGAUUGGUCAGAAGGUGUUGAUUAGUUACAGCACUGACAAUAGCGCAGGUUUAUAUUAACGCGUUUUCUGUAAGGAGUCUCCAGUGUCAGUGCUUUGUAAUAGUUAGAGGUAAAGCCGUAACUUUAAGGUUUCUGGCAUCUUCAUGACAGAGGGGUUUGUGAUAACACGACAUAAAUGAAUAAAUAUAUUUAUUUAUUUUUUAAGAUAUGGUGUGCAUUUUGUUUACAAUAUUAAACCUCUGUUUAUAGCAGUUUUGAUAUUUACUUAUUUUGUUUCAUGCAGACAGAAAUGUAUAUUGUUUUGCACUGUUUGUGAUUCACAAACAAAAAAAUGAGUCUUUCAGUCAUAAUUUUAUUCACAAUAUUCCAAGCAUGGAAUCGUGACCGGAGUCUAUAUCGCUACACCCCUAAUAUUUAUAUCCACGCACCAGCCUGACCGCGCUAUGAAUUGUGGGUAGCGAGGUGUGAGGUCCUGCUCCAUCUGCUGCAGAGGAAGUUGGAGGUAAAACCCGGAGCGGAUCUUCAGGAACAGGCCCAGAUCCUGCUGAGGAGGAAUUCAUUCAUUCAUCACUAUAAUGAGGCUUUAAACGGACAUCUUUAAUGUGGUGACGUCAUCCGCCAUGAUAAAUCAACAUCCCAUUCAGAUUGAUCAUCAUUUAUUAAUCUCUGUAUGAAUUUUAUUUUAAAAUAUUUAUUUAUUUUAAAAGUUGUAAGGUAUUUUAGCUCUUAGUAGGGGAAAAAAUUAAGCAGAAUAAUAUUUAUCGAGAAUAUUUACAUGUAAUUAUUUACAGUUUAAAAAAAAAAAAGAUUAAACUUAAAAUGAGUGCUUGAUUGGCUUUUUGUGUGCCAAAGACCUGGAAUAAACUUUAAACAUUCAUCAAGAAAAACAAACAAACAAACAAACAAAUCAAACAUAUUUUUCUACUCUAGCUUUUAUUAUCUGCUUGUCUUCACUGCCAUGUUACUUUUACAUGCCUAAUUACGGCACUGUUAUUUAUUUUUACACACGUUUUAAAAAUGAAAUAUAGUUUCAGUCUAUAUUACUAUCAUUUCCUUCUUUCCGUCAUGUCUGUAUUGAUUUCAUCAUCAUCAUCAUCAUCAUCAUUAUUAUUAUCUGCCUAUUUGCCUAGUGUGAUAUUUUGUCUACUUCUUGUUGCUUUAUUGUUGUUUACACUUCACUCUGUCAGUUUAAAAGUAUUUAAAAGUUUCUGUACCAACUCAGUUCACUAUCAUUUGAAUAACGUUCUUUUCUAAUAGAAUAAAAUGAUCUGAAACAUUUCGUGUCGGUGUUUAAGGUUUAAAAAGUUUAAGUUAAAAAAAAAAAUAAAAAAAAAGUGAAAGGCUCCGGUUCCGUGUUUUGUUUACACUCGGCCGUGUUGAUGUACGGC